rnacentral:rRNA from 1 species
CCUUAACCUGCUAAAUAGUUAAGCCACCCCAUCUGGGGUGCGCUGUCAACUUCUUAGAGGGACUAUCAGUGUUUAACUGAUGGAAGUUUGAGGCAAUAACAGGUCUGUGAUGCCCUUAGAUGUUCUGGGCCGCACGCGCGCUACACUGACGAAGGCAGCGAGUUUAUUAACCUUGGCCGGAAGGUCUGGGUAAUCUUGUAAAACUUCGUCGUGAUGGGGAUAGAGCAUUGCAAUUAUUGCUCUUCAACGAGGAAUUCCUAGUAAGCGCAAGUCAUCAGCUUGCGUUGAUUACGUCCCUGCCCUUUGUACACACCGCCCGUCGCUACUACCGAUUGAACAUUUUAGUGAGGUCUCUGGACUGGGGUUUCCGAGGCUGGCAACAGUUUUAGAUUCUCUGGGAAAUUGCCCAAACUUGGAUGUUUAGAGGAAGUAAAAGUCG